rnacentral:siRNA from 1 species
ACCGAGACCUUGUGCUUCUUAGCA